GGGCCCGCGGAGGGGGGCCGGAGGGGAGCGGUGCGGCAGAGCGUUCCUGAGCCCCUGAAGGGACAGACUGAAAAUCACCCCAAACAUUGAGCCCAAAAGACGCCUAGAUCGAAGACCACCGUGAGAGGAGAAAAAGGGAGUCAUUUCCUGCCGAGGGAGAAAGGGAACCGAGAACAGCGGAGACAUAAAGGCGGCUCCAAGGGCAGAGUUUGAGGAGCGGGCGCAGGCUGUGCUCCCAGCUCUUGGGUUGCUACUCCCCGUUGUCGCGUAGUUUCACCUGGCUCCCGGUUCCCCCGGAGGGCAGGGCUUUGGCCUCAGGCCUGGUUCUGGGAGACGAAGUGCCGGGGCGGAGAUGUUCAUUGCGGGAGAAACGCGCCAGUUCGAUGUCAUUUGAGUUCCUGCUACAUCCAGGCCACCCGUGUUUUUUGCUCGAAAUGAGACAGACUGAACUUGUCAGCCCUUGGUGCAGCACUAAGAAAAGCAGCUCUGAGAGCCACGGUUGGUAGCCGGCCUGGAUGCCCUCCCUGAUGAACGAGAAACCAUGAAGAAAGGACAAAGGGC